rnacentral:tRNA from 1 species
GUAGCUCAAUGGUAGAGCAGCAGCUUCCCAAGCUGAAUACGAGGGUUCGAUUCCCUUC